AGGAUUGGGGUUCUCUAUUUGUCUUUCUCUUCCAGCGUCCUUCUUCCUUCUUCCUUCUUCCUCCUUGGUUCAUAGUUUAUAUUCUAGCGUGUCAGAUCCAUGGCUGCCUGAACAUCGCUCCGCUAUCACUUGAUUCACUUCUCCGCUGCAAUUCUCUCCAUCCUUAGUUUCUCUUCUCUUUGAAUUUACAGAAAUCUAAUCGAAGAAGCCCCAAAAUCCCAAAUCAGAAUUCCCAAACCCUAAAAUUUUCGAUCUCUCUUAGUCAUCGUCGGAGCCAGAAGCCGACUAAUUCGAACUCCAAUUCCAGUAAUGUCCAAUCUGUUGGGGUUUUGUUCCCUCCCUGACUCAUUACUUCACCAAUAUUCCCUUCUGGUUUUGGUGCUGGCCCCAAUGGAGCUUCUGCUGCCCAGUUUGUUAGAGCAGAAAUGCUUCCUAGUGGUUAUCUGAUUCGACCGUGUGAGGGUGGAGGAUCAAUCAUUCAUAUUGUUGACCACCUGAACCUUGAGGCUUGGAGUGUGCCGGAAGUGCUGCGACCGCUUUAUGAAUCGUCCAAAGUGGUAGCACAAAAAAGGACUAUUGCGAACAAGUUCAGUCUGGCAAGGCUUCUGAUAAGCUGCUGUUUACGUACUUCCCUUUCCUGGUGUUUUGGCCAUACUACAUGGGCUGUUGACAACUUCCAGGACGAGUAGUUCAAUGAUUGGCAAGAGACCUAUGCUGGGCAGCAAAAAGAAGGCUUGAGAUACACAACUCACUGACUCAGACUUUAUAAUUCUAUUGUCAUUUUGGGAGUUUUGUAUUUGUCAUUUUUUCUGAUUGAAAUGCUCAUUGUGUUUGUGACCUCAAUCUUUUGAUGAAACUAAUCUUAUUAAUGAAUGACAGAUUUAUUCCCAAGGAUUUGUUGGUAGUUCCUAAGCCGAUGACAUUAUAAUAAUAUAGUUGGAAGAACAACACACAUCCAGAUAUGUACUUUGCUUUAUUCUGCUUGAACAACCGCACACUUUCUAAUAGAAAUUCAAAUGAGAAACUUGCCCAGUUCAUACUUCUUAUAUUCUUCAGAUUCUUCAAUGCAAGAAGAUACUUCAGACUUCAAGCAUCUGCACAAAUAGCAAACAGCACUCUCUGAGUCAAAUUGCAGUGGAGCAAAAUUGUUCUCAAGUUUUCAGUCAGGGAAGAAAGGAACUCCGUAAUGUAUACCUUCAGUUAAUAAUUAUAGGGUUACAGCAUCUUCUCUUUCGCCUCCUUGCCUGCACUCCUCAAAAUCCGCUCUGUCUCUAGGUUGAAUUGUGCCUUUACCUGGAUACGAAGCCUUGCGCAACCGAGAUAGUUUCUGGUCUUUAGGAAUUAGGGUUUAUGUCGUGGACUAUAAGUUGUGGGUUAUAACUUACGAACGAAAUUGAUUUAUCUAUAACUAUUUUUUUCCCUUUUCCAUUAACAUAAAGGAUUUUCAUUUAAAUAUAUGGAAAAUAUUAAUGCUUUCUGAAAUAUAAAAGACCCUAAACCCUAAACCCUAAAAUUUUCAUUUAUUUAGAAAUUAACUACAAUUGAAUUCCUAAUCCGUAUUAAAUGUUGUUUAACAAAUUUCAAAACAACAAGAUACAUUCAUUAGUACUCUAAGACCCUAAACCCUAAACCCUAAACCCCAAACCCUAAACCCUAAACUCCAAACUUUAACCCCUAAAUAGUAACCCUAACCCUAUUCCCUAAAUGAAAUAUAUGAUUCUUGAUAAUCUAUGCUCCUCCUCGACAAGAUAUUUCUUUCUCAACAAGAUACCUCAUCCUUCACAGGAUAUCUGCUCAUCGACUACAUUACUACAUAUGUCUCACCUUAACAAGAUAUCUGCUUCUCCUCGACAACAUAUCUUCUCCUUAACAAGAUAUCUGCUCCUCCUCGACAACAUAUCUCAUCUUAACAAGAUAUAUAUAUGCUCCUCCUCGACAACAUAUCUCUCCUUAACAAGAUAUAUGCUCCUCCUCGACAACAUAUCUCUCCUUAACAAGAUAUAUGCUCCUCCUCGACAACAUAUCUCUCCUUAACAAGAUAUAUAUAUGCUCCUCCUCGACAACAUAUCUCUCCUUAACAAGAUAUAUGCUCCUCCUCGACAACAUAUCUUCUCCUUAACAAGAUAUCUGCUCCUCCUCGACAACAUAUCUCACCUUAACAAGAUAUAUGCUCCUCUAUAAAAUAGUUCACUUAUACAUUGCAUUCUACUACAAAAUUUAUCUAAAAGUCGUUUAUGUUUACACUUUGACCACCUUUGUCACCUGAAUAAGGAUUCUUCAAUCAUAUUUUUGCUAAUUCCACGCUAGUACAUCAAAUAUAAGCGAAGUGAAGUGCGAUCCGUGUACUCCUUAUUUCAGCCGUCAGAUAACGACUUCUGUUCUCUUUUUUUUCACGCGGAUCGAGCUUACUAACCGUCGAUUUAAUCCAAUUGAGUUUUCAAUACAAUUCAGUUUUGUUUUUUGUUUUUUUUUGAUGCAUGAGUUAGAUUGCUCUUCUUCGUGCAGCGCCUCUUCUCUGUUUUCUCCUUUAACUCUCUCUCUCUCUCUCUCUCUCUCGGUGCUCUUGGGACGACGUCGUUCAUCCAUCGCCGCCUCCACCUUUGCUACUGUCGGUGACCACUUCAAGUUGGGUCUUCGCAUCUGCAAUCAAAGCCGAGUAUUGGGGACAUGCCGGAGAGCUUCGCGGCGGAGAUUAUAGCAAAGGUAUGAAGAAAGACUCGCAUGGUUAUCAGUCCAUGCUUUGAUGUUGGUGUCAAGGAGAUUGAAGGCUGACUGCUACUCUUCUUCCAUCAAGACAUGUUUGCCCUUGUUAACUCACCAAUGUAUUAGUUGUUAGGUCACCAAGUGUUGUAUAUGUUAAAUACUACUUGCCCAGUUGAUACGUUUUCAAUUG